rnacentral:misc_RNA from 1 species
UCCGGUUUGGCACCGGCAGUCCUCCCAGAGUCCUCGGCAUGACCCGGUAGCAACUGGGAGCGGGGGUUGCGCUCGUUGCGGGACUUAACCCAACAUCUCACGACACGAGCUGACGACAGCCAUGCACCACCUGUGCACUGGUCCCGAAGGAGGGCCGUAUUUCUACGGAUUUCCAGUGCAUGUCAAGCCCUGGUAAGGUUCUUCGCGUUGCAUCGAAUUAAGCCGCAUGCUCCGCCGCUUGUGCGGGGACCCGUCAAUUCCUUUGAGUUUUAAUCUUGCGACCGUACUUCCCAGGCGGGGCACUUAAUGCGUUAGCUGCGACACUGCAGGGGUCAAUUCCUGCAACAUCUAGUACCCAUCGUUUACGGCGUGGACUAC